rnacentral:rRNA from 1 species
AACGAACGCUGGCGGCAUGCCUAACACAUGCAAGUCGAACGAGACCUUCGGGUCUAGUGGCGCACGGGUGCGUAACGCGUGGGAACCUGCCCUUAGGUUCGGAAUAACUCCCCGAAAGGGGUGCUAAUACCGGAUAAUGUCUUCGGACCAAAGAUUUAUCGCCUUUGGAUGGGCCCGCGUUGGAUUAGCUAGUUGGUAGGGUAAAAGCCUACCAAGGCGACGAUCCAUAGCUGGUCUGAGAGGAUGAUCAGCCACACUGGGACUGAGACACGGCCCAGACCCCCACGGGGGGGAGGAGUGGGGGAAAUUUGGAAAUGGGGGGAAGGCCGGACCCGCCAAUCCCGGGUGGUGGAUGAAGGCCUUGGGUUUUAAAACCCUUUUUCCCCGGGUUGAAAAGACAAGUACGGGGGAAAAAAGCCCCGCCUACCCCCGG